rnacentral:rRNA from 1 species
GAUGAACGCUGGCGGCGUGCCUAAUACAUGCAAGUCGAGCGAACAGACGAGGAGCUUGCUCCUCUGACGUUAGCGGCGGACGGGUGAGUAACACGUGGAUAACCUACCUAUAAGACUGGGAUAACUUCGGGAAACCGGAGCUAAUACCGGAUAACAUGUUGAACCGCAUGGUUCAACAGUGAAAGACGGUCUUGCUGUCACUUAUAGAUGGAUCCGCGCCGCAUUAGCUAGUUGGUAAGGUAACGGCUUACCAAGGCAACGAUGCGUAGCCGACCUGAGAGGGUGAUCGGCCACACUGGAACUGAGACACGGUCCAGACUCCUACGGGAGGCAGCAGUAGGGAAUAUUCCGCAAUGGGCGAAAGCCUGACGGAGCAAUGCCGCGUGAGUGAAGAAGGUCUUCGGAUCGUAAAACUCUGUUAUUAGGGAAGAACAAAUGUGUAAGUAACUAUGCACGUCUUGACGGUACCUAAUCAGAAAGCCACGGCUAACUACGUG